GUCCUGACUGCAUGCACACGCUGU
rnacentral:piRNA from 1 species